UACGUAGGGUCCAAGCGUUAUCCGGAAUCACUGGGCGUAAAGCGUGCGUAGGCGGCGUGUUAAGUGAGAUGUUAAAUCGUGUGGCUCAACCAUAUCGAUGCAUUUCAUACUGGCAUGCUGGAGGAAGGCAGAGGCAAGUGGAAUUGGCAGUGUAGCAGUGAAAUGCGUAGAGAUUGCCAGGAACACCAAUGGCGAAGGCAGCUUGCUGGGCCUUUUCUGACGCUGAGGUACGAAAGCGUGGGGAGCGAACAGG
rnacentral:rRNA from 1 species